rnacentral:snRNA from 1 species
AGAUGGGAGUGUGAUCUGCCUGCGACCUCUGUCACCCCACUGAUCACCAAGAUUGAUUUGGCUGAUCUGGCUGGCUAGGCAGGUGUCCCCUCCCUCACUCAUCCCUGCAUGUGCCUCCCUCCCAAAGCUGCACAUUUGGGCAAAGAGGAUGACCCCCCCAAUAGAGGAGUAUAUCGAGGGUAUACGAGUAGCUGUGGUCCCCUGCUAGAACCUUCAAACAAGCUCUCAAGUAUUAAGGGAACUUCCUGGUCUUUUUCUCUCUCCAGAAAACUUAUAUCUGCAAUCCACGGAUAAAUUCUUGGAUUCC